UACGUAGGUGGCAAGCGUUAUCCGGAAUUAUUGGGCGUAAAGCGCGCGCAGGCGGGCUGUUAAGUCUGAUGUGAAAGCCCCCGGCUCAACCGGGGAGGGUCAUUGGAAACUGGGAGACUUGAGUACAGGAGAGAAGAGUGGAAUUCCACGUGUAGCGGUGAAAUGCGUAGAGAUGUGGAGGAACACCAGUGGCGAAGGCGGCUCUCUGGCCUAUAACUGACGCUGAGGCGCGAAAGCGUGGGGAGCAAACAGG
rnacentral:misc_RNA from 1 species